rnacentral:rRNA from 1 species
CACGUAGGGUGCGAGCGUUGUCCGGAAUUAUUGGGCGUAAAGAGCUCGUAGGCGGUGUGUCGCGUCGGCCGUGAAAACCUGCAGCUUAACUGUGGGCUUGCGGUCGAUACGGGCAUCACUGGAGUUCGGCAGGGGAGACUGGAAUUCCUGGUGUAGCGGUGAAAUGCGUAGAUAUCCGAAGGAACACCUGUGGUGUAGACAGCUUACUGGACCACUUCUGACGCUGAGACACGAAAGCUAGGGGAGCAAACAGG